rnacentral:rRNA from 1 species
UACGUAGGGCGCAAGCGUUGUCCGGAAUUAUUGGGCGUAAAGAGCUCGUAGGCGGUUUGUCGCGUCUGUCGUGAAAGCCCACGGCUUAACCGUGGGUCUGCGGUGGAUACGGGCAGACUAGAGGCAGGUAGGGGAGAAUGGAAUUCCUGGUGUAGCGGUGAAAUGCGCAGAUAUCAGGAGGAACACCGGUGGCGAAGGCGGGUCUCUGGGCAAUUCCUGACGCUGAGGCGCGAAAGCGUGGGGAGCAAACGGG